rnacentral:rRNA from 1 species
GACAGAGGGUGCUAGCGUUGUUCGGAAUGACUGGGCGUAAAGGGCGCGUAGGCGGUUUUUCAAGUCAGAUGUGAAAGCCCCGGGCUUAACCUGGGAACUGCAUUUGAUACUGGAAGACUGGAGUACGAGAGAGGAAAGCGGAAUUCCUAGUGUAGAGGUGAAAUUCGUAGAUAUUAGGAGGAACACCAGAGGCGAAGGCGGCUUUCUGGCUCGUAACUGACGCUGAGGCGCGAAAGCGUGGGGAGCAAACAGG